UACGUAGGCAGCAAGCGUUGUUCGGAAUUACUGGGCGUAAAGAGUGUGUAGGCGGUGCUCUAAGUUUGGUGUGAAAUCUCCCGGCUCAACCGGGAGGCUGCAUCGAAUACUGGAAUGCUAGAGGGUGGGAGAGGUAAGCGGAAUUCCUGGUGUAGCGGUGAAAUGCGUAGAUAUCGUAAGGAAGACCAGUGGCGAAGGCGGGUCUCUGGACAGUUCCUGACGCUGAGGCACGAAGGCCAGGGGAGCAAACGGG
rnacentral:rRNA from 1 species